GGGAGAGGACGCAGAAGAGGAGGAGGAAGAAGAAAAGCAGAGCAGAAGCACAUGGUCUGGAGAAACUGCAAGUUCUAAGGGGUCUCAUAGAUGGAAAAGAUGGUCGAGUAGUGGGAGAUCUGCCCAAUGGACACGGCCGCCACAUCUGGCUUUAGAGAGCAUUUUGGAGAAUCAAAUUCCCUUCCUCAGGAUCUCACACUCUUCUCUUUUCAGAUGGACUGGCUUUGUUGUGAAUACAGUGAUGACCGAGAUACUGGCCCUGGUGAUAAGCAAGCAGUGUUCAAAGGAGGGGAAGAAAAUGUCAUACAAUGGAAGUAAUUUGAUUCUUAUUUUCUCUGCAAGGACUUAGGAAUGCAUAUACACGAUUGUUUAAAGGCUUUCUCUCACACAGCAGUUGGGAGUUUUAAUUUUCCACUCGAUCACAGCUUCUUGGGCAAAUAUCUCACAGUAAAAGGAUCUUGAUAAGGAGGGCACUUUCCAGAAACAAUUUAUUUUGAAAGAGAGAUAGCAGGAUGCUCUCUAGGGGGUGGCCAAAUGGUCACUACACAGGCAAAGUGAGAGCCCUGGGGUGACAUAGCUGUCCCCACUGUGUCAUUUAAAGUCAGUUUUCUUAUAUGGGAAAGUUUUACUGAGAAGGGGACUUCUCUCACUUAAGAAAAAAAAGGAGUCAACGAUUUAGAAUUAAUUGAAAUAACCAGUUACGGUUAAAAUAAAAAACAUUAAAUUAAAUAAAAGCCCAGGAUU
ensembl:antisense 2410021H03Rik RIKEN cDNA 2410021H03 gene